GGGAGGUAGUGACAAUAAAUAACAAUACGGGGCUCUUUAGGGUCUCGUAAUUGGAAUGAGUACAAUUUAAAUCUCUUAACGAGGAACAAUUGGAGGGCAAGUCUGGUGCCAGCAGCCGCGGUAAUUCCAGCUCCAAUAGCGUAUAUUAAAGUUGUUGCAGUUAAAAAGCUCGUAGUUGAAUUUCGGGAUCAGCAGGUUGGUCUUGCCACUGGUAUGUACUAGCUUGCUGAUUCCUCCUUCUUGUAGAACCGUAAUGCCAUUAAUUUGGUGUUGCGGGGAAACAGGACUGUUACUUUGAAAAAAUUAGAGUGUUUAAAGCAGGCUAGCGCCUGAAUACAUUAGCAUGGAAUAAUGAAAUAGGACGUUCGAACCUAUUUUGUUGGUUUCUAGGAUUGACGUAAUGAUUAAUAGGGAUAGUUGGG
rnacentral:rRNA from 1 species